CCUACGGGAGGCAGCAGUGGGGAAUAUUGCACAAUAGGGGAAACCCUGAUGCAGCGACGCCGCGUGAGUGAAGAAGUAUUUCGGUAUGUAAAGCUCUAUCAGCAGGGAAGAUAAUGACGGUACCUGACUAAGAAGCCCCGUCUAACUACGUGCCAGCAGCCGCGGUAAUACGUAGGGGGCAAGCGUUCUCCGGAUUUACUGGGUGGAAAGGGAGCGUAGGUGGCAGGGCAAGUCAGAUGUGAAAACCCGGGGAUCAACCCCGGGAGUGCAUUUGAAACUGUCCAGCUGGAGUGCAGGAGAGGUAAGCGGAAUUCCUAGUGUAGCGGUGAAAUGCAUAGAUAUUAGGAGGAACACCAGUGGCGAAGGCGGCUUACUGGACUGUAACUGACACUGAGGCUCGAAAGCGUGGGGAGCAAACAGGAUUAGAUACCCCUGUAGUC
rnacentral:rRNA from 1 species